rnacentral:rRNA from 7 species
AAACGACUCUCGGCAACGGAUAUCUCGGCUCUCGCAUCGAUGAAGAACGUAGCGAAAUGCGAUACUUGGUGUGAAUUGCAGAAUCCCGUGAACCAUCGAGUCUUUGAACGCAAGUUGCGCCCGAAGCCUUUAGGCCGAGGGCACGCCUGCCUGGGCGUCACAC